AUGGCGAUACAGCGCUUCGUAUGUCCUGCUGGUUUGUCUUCAUGGGCCGACCGCCUUGGGCCUCGCAGAGGCCUCGGCCAGCCGGGAUGAGAGGCUUCGUGUCCUCGGCUUUGUGCCUGCCAUUUGUGAGAAAUCUGUAGGUCUGCCUUUUCCCUCCAGAGGCUCGGUCACCUUCGUCUGUGCAGCAAACCGAUGGUGGGAGUAUUCCUGCUGGAAAUGAAGCCUCUGUGAAGAGAUGCUGGCGUCUCGUGGGAAGGAAGGUGACAGAAGCAACUCAGUCCAGUCAUUGGCCAAGAUGACUGACUGGGUACAGCCCAGUUGAGAUUCAAAAGCCAGGAAGAAUGAAGCCCACAGGUGCAACCACCAUCACCUGGUCAGGGAGGGCCUGAGUUAACUGCUGCCAGGGACCUGCUGAGCCACCCACACAGCCUUCCUCUGCUAGAAGGCUGGGCUCUGCCAAAUGCACGCCUCUCAUCCGAGCAGCCAGCAAUCAUGCUUCGAACCAUACUUGCAUUGGUUAAGAUUAAACUACUUUGCCCAAGAGGGAUGGAAUAAGGCCACUUCCUCCAGUCUUGUGAUGACUAACAGAACAACAUAGCAGUUCUGGGGCAGUGCAGCCACUUCUUGAGAUUGCUGCCAACAUUCCCUCCUGCCCCAGCGUUCGUGGCCUUAGAAGUGAUAAUUAGGUAGGGGAAUUCCAGGUGCUGCAGAAGGAGCACAAAUAAACUUGCUUAUUCUCCAA